rnacentral:rRNA from 1 species
AUUGAACGCUGGCGGCAGGCUUAACACAUGCAAGUCGAGCGGCAGCGGGAAAGUAGCUUGCUACUUUUGCCGGCGAGCGGCGGACGGGUGAGUAAUGCCUGGGAAAUUGCCCAGUCGAGGGGGAUAACAGUUGGAAACGACUGCUAAUACCGCAUACGCCCUACGGGGGAAAGCAGGGGACCUUCGGGCCUUGCGCGAUUGGAUAUGCCCAGGUGGGAUUAGCUAGUUGGUGAGGUAAUGGCUCACCAAGGCGACGAUCCCUAGCUGGUCUGAGAGGAUGAUCAGCCACACUGGAACUUAGACACGGUCCAGACUCCUACGGGAGGCAGCAGUGGGGAAUAUUGCACAAUGGGGGAAACCCUGAUGCAGCCAUGCCGCGUGUGUGAAGAAGGCCUUCGGGUUGUAAAGCACUUUCAGCGAGGAGGAAAGGUUGAUGCCUAAUACGUAUCAACUGUGACGUUACUCGCAGAAGAAGCACCGGCUAACUCCGUGCCAGCCGCCGCGGUAAUAC